AGCUUUUCGUGUAUCAAGAUCCCAUCAUUCGGUCGUCAAUCUCACGUGGUCGCGCACAUUUUUGCCGCCAGGUGCGCAACACCAAAGUCGCUUACAUCCACAAUCGCAUCAUAUUUAAAUUUCAUCAACGGAAAAACGAACGUCGGUCUCGCGUGGUGUCGCGCAAUUUUGCCGCCAGGCGCGCAACACCAAAGUUGCAUCGUCACACAACGUGUCGGGAAAGACCAAAAUCGAAGUCAUCAAAAACCGUAGCAUACGGUCUCGAUCCAAACAUUUUGCCACGGUGGCGCUGCAUACCACCAACCGUGUUAGUCACCCCACGCCUUUGCUA